GGGCGAGUAGCUCAGUUGGUUAGAGCGCUUCCCUUACAAGGAAGAUGUCGUAGGUUCGAGUCCUAUCUCGCCCA
rnacentral:tRNA from 1 species